GCCCUCGUAGCUCAGCGGAAGAGCAGCGGUCUUCUAAGCCGCGGGUCGCGCGUUCGAACCGCGCCGGGGGUU
rnacentral:tRNA from 1 species